CACUCCUUCACUCGAGCAGCCGCCCCUUUCUUCCUCCUUUGCAAGUGGCGAUGAAGAAAAAGAAGAAAAAGCUGGAGGCCAAAAGCCAUAAGCAUAUAAUUAUAUGCUCCGUUCCUUUAUUGGUAUGGGAGGAGUUGGCAAGAAAUUGUUACUGAUCUUGUCCCUUUGCCUUUUUUAGAUGAACGCUGCGGGGCAGAGGUCGGCACGGGUGCUGGGUUUUACAUUAGGUUCGUACGUGUCCUGGUUCAUGGCAACGGCUACAAAUCCUCGGUGUCAUAUUUUCUCCUUGCGAAGGACGUCGAUUUCUGUUGGAGGGACGACCCGGACGAUGACUAUCGAGGAGGGAGCACGCGUGGUGGACUUGACCGUGAUUCAAGAUUCUCCAGCUAAACCUCCUCCCGCAUACAUGAAGAAGCUGAUUCGUACAGCACGUGGUCGGAUCAUCUGGAAAGGUCCGCUGGUUCGCACCCCAUAUAUAAAUCCACUCAAAGGGAGGGCGAAACGGUAACUUAGGACCAUUUCAUCCUCUGCCUCAGAGCGUGAUGAAUCUUUUCUCACGUGGUACACCAGAGCUGCGACGUCCGACACAUGAUGUCUACUUCAUCAAGUCGAAGUCAAAGGACAGUUUUUGGCGGCUUGUGGUAGAGUUGCGCGAGUGGCUGACCGACUUGAUGAAGACGACCACCGUGCGACUGUUUCACAGCAUUUGACGACUGCCCACACAUUCUUCAGAGCCUAUAUUGAGAUGGCUUGGAAGAGUUGACAGACCACACCGUUUGAGGAGUUUGAGUUUUCGGGGCUCUUCACGAGGAUGGUUGAGGCAGCAUACACCCCGAGAUUGUUGUACAAACCAUAGGAGAUGGUCAAUCAAGUUUACAUCCUUAUAAACUUCGACUGUGCACAUUGGGUGGUCAGAGUUAUAGAUUUUCGUGAGUGGUCGAUUACAGUAUACGAUUCGGAUGUAUCAUAUUCGAAAAAUAUGGGGUCUCUUGAGCAGCGCAUACGACUGUAUAUGACAUUCAUACCCGCGUUAUUAGAGGCGACGAGUUUUUAGACUACUUCUGGAUAGACUCCACGACUUGAUUCCCUCACUUCAUAUCGAGCGACGGAUGUCCCUCAGCAGGGACUAGGCUCUGGUGACUGUGACGUGUUUAUGCUACGUUUUUUUUUUAGUGUUUGGGGUUGUCACAGAGCGUCGAUUUUCUCCGAGAGUCGUCUACCUCUAUGCGUCGACGUUUAGCGUCGCAGUUGUAUUUUCACUAUAUUGAGUAGCUCAUGGAUGUAUAUUUAGUUAGCUCAUUGUU